rnacentral:rRNA from 1 species
UGGGGAAUAUUGCACAAUGGGCGCAAGCCUGAUGCAGCCAUGCCGCGUGUAUGAAGAAGGCCUUCGGGUUGUAAAGUACUUUCAGCGGGGAGGAAGGGAGUAAAGUUAAUACCUUUGCUCAUUGACGUUACCCGCAGAAGAAGCACCGGCUAACUCCGUGCCAGCAGCCGCGGUAAUACGGAGGGUGCAAGCGUUAAUCGGAAUUACUGGGCGUAAAGCGCACGCAGGCGGUUGAUUGAGUCAGAUGUGAAAUCCCCGGGCUUAACCCGGGAAUUGCAUCUGAUACUGGUCAGCUAGAGUCUUGUAGAGGGGGGUAGAAUUCCAUGUGUAGCGGUGAAAUGCGUAGAGAUGUGGAGGAAUACCGGUGGCGAAGGCGGCCCCCUGGACAAAGACUGACGCUCAGGUGUGAAAGCGUGGGGAGCAAACAGG